rnacentral:lncRNA from 1 species
CCCAGCCAGCCGCGUGUUUAUUCUGGGGCGAGCGCUGAAGGGCCUGUUGUCUGAAGCUUUGGCGGCGUGGGCACCGAUCGGACAUCUUCCGAGGUCUCACCGGGAGGCUGAGCCACACUGCGGCCGUGUGGACAGAGGAUGCACAGAGGAAACCCUCCGAAUCGGGGGAGGGGACGCUGGGCACCUGGCACCCUGCGUGCGUGGGGGGUGGGAUGCAGGAGGGAGGGAGGGAGGCAGCUGUAUUCAUGUUCUUUGCUGUGUCCCCCAAAGAAGGAGCGGGCUCCUGUUCCCACGUGGCCAACAGCCGCGAGAGCAGUUGGCCAGAUGGCCCUGAAGGUUCUGGCGGAGCGAGGCCAGGGCAGAUGUGGGCUGAAGGCGGCUGGGGCCUGGUCGGCCGGGGCUGGAUUACGAAGGGCACAUCUCAGCUCCAGGGAGACACAGCUCAAGUGCUCCGGCGUCACGUGCGGCUUGUGGCCCCCAUAUCGGAAACACAGCUUCCCAUGUGGAAGAGGCAGGAUGACAAGGUAGGGGUCUCUGAGGAGCUCAGACAGGAAGAGAUAAGGUCUGAGCUGGUGUCCACUGGAGUGGAGUGAAGGUGACUGCUUCCAGUGACAUCCCGGAGCUGGAAGUUGAUGGCUAUAGUGGGGUGAAUGGUGGCUCCCCAAAAGAAAUGUCUACCGAGAAGCUGUGAAUGCGACCUUAUCUGGAAAAAGGAUCUUUGCAGAUGUGAUUAAGUUAAGCGCCUAGAGAUGCAGUGAUUGAGUUAUCUGGAUGGGCCCUAAAUCCAAUGACAAGUGUCCUUAGGAGAAGAGGACACACAGAGGGAGACAGAGCCACAGAGGGAAGGGCCAUGUGGAGACGGAGGCAGAAACUGGAGCGAUGUGGCCACGAGCCGAGGAAGGUCCCGGGCCCCUAGCACUGGAGGAAGCCCCCCAGAGCCUUCAGACGGAGCACAGCCCUGCUGACACCUCGACCUUGGCCUUGCAGCCUCCAGAACCACGAGAGAAGACAUUUCCGUGGUCAGAGCCACCACUAUGGUCAUUUGUUACAGCAGCCCCUGCAAAACUCAUACACGGGCCUCCCAGAUACGGGUCAGCAGGCUCCCCGACUUCAGGGGGACAAGUGGGUGGAUGGCAACAGCACGAGCUGGAACAGCAGCUGCGGGGCUGAGCAGCUCCGAGGGAGGGUGAAGACGCACAGCUUGCCUGUGGAAGUGAAAACAGCUAACGCUUAGCAGACUUGCCGUAUGCCAGGCACUAUGUUAAAUGCUUUAAUCUCAUUAGCUCCAUUCAUCCUCUCAACGCCUGUGAGGCAGACACCACUCUAAUCUCCAUUAUACAGAUAAAGAAACUGAGGCACAGACAGGAUACCUCGCCCAAGGUCACACGUCUGGUAAACGGAGGAACCCACAUGCAAACCUCGACUGUCUGACCAUUGCAAUGUUUCUCUCAAACGCGUUGAGUCUCAGUAGAGACGAGCAGGGGACAGGCACUGAGCAGCGGCCACGGAGAGGGAGGAAGGACUGAGCGAGGACCAAGCAGAUCCUGGCUCACCUUUGGGCUGCCUGCGGUAAAGGGCAAUUUUAUCCACAUUCACAUUAGAAUAUUUUAGGUGGAUUAACUGUCCAUCGACUUCCCCGCGUCCACCUGCACAGAAGUCACGGCUGAAUGACCGGAAGCAGCACAGGCCUCAGACAGCAUUGCCGGCCGCCGGCAGAAAGCAGCCCAGUCGGCCCCCAAGUUGCCAGCGAGCCUGCAUUUUCCAUUUCCAAAAUGCAGCCUGCUCCCCGGCUUUGUCCCUCCAGGAAAUCCUGUUUGUGCUAUUUUGGGAAAAUUGAUGGCUUUUUUUUCUGGGCUUUCCAGAAGCCUGACAGAUGGUCCCAGAUUUGCACACUGUGUUUCCAGGGUGGCGCCCGAGACACUCUCUCGAUGAUUCUUUCUACUGUGUCAGGCGUUUCAACCAAAUGUGUUGCUUCAACAAAUAUUUAUUGAAAGCCUGCUGUAUGUAAAGUUCUGUGCUCGAUGCUGGGAGAUGAAUCAGAAGGUACUUAUUGAACAUUUAUUAUGCUCUGGGGCAUGUGGGAGGUCCAGUGCCAUCCCCAGAGGGGCUGGGGGCCCUGGAACGGAGCACAUUUACGAGGAGCCUCAUGCACACAUGUACACACUCCCUUGGAACAUUUUUAUACAAGCAGGAUCACAUUAAAAGAAAUAACCAGGGACGCCUUAAAAUGGAGAAAAAGUCAUGAAAGAACAGGGAGGGGACCGUUCGCCUCUGUGAGAGGGGAGUGUGUGUUUGAUAACGAACGAGGAGCUGGAGGCUUUUCUCAAACUUGCUGGAGACUCAACUCUUCUCCCUUCUCCCAGGAGAAAGGCGUGCCAAAGAGGGCAUGCAGGAGCCCGGAGGCUGCUUUGUAGAGAAGAUGCUGUUUCUGCUCUCAAGGAAAUUGUGUACCAAGCAGGGAGCUAAGAAAGUCCAGUGAAGAGGGACGAGAUAUUCCGCGGCAAUUAAGCCCCAGACCCUGCGUGAGUUCUGCAGCGACAGCCAUCAUAUGUUUUCCACAGCAAGAGGCUGCUUCUGGGUCCCCCAGGUGAAUCCCAGGCUCCCCGUCCACGUGAGUGCACACCAAUAAGGGCUCUCUCUGGGCCUCAGUUUCCCCAUCUACAAAAUGGGGGUAACAAUGGCACCAACCUCUCAGGGUUGGGGUGGAGCUGAAUGCAAUAACACACAUGUCCCCGGCCCACCGCAAAAUCCCUGACGGCAUUAUGCUUGGACAGGUCAAGACGGGUGAAAGGCAGCCUCAUCUUUCCAGUGAAUUCCAUCUGGGAUCUGGGAAUCCAUCUGGGAUCCAUCUGGCUUCGUAAGGAAGACCCAACUUCUAAUGCAGAGUGAUGCUGUUCCUUAAGGAGAAAUGGUUCCCAGCCAUGGAAGGAUCUUUUUAUAAAUCGGCCUGCAGAAACUUUGCCAAGGGUAACUCAGGCGUGUGGCAGCGCAGGCGAGGGUGCCUUCGCUUCACGGCGCUCUUCAUAGCCCCACAUCCGCCACAGGUUUGCCCGGAGGACGCGGGUGCCCGUGGUGUGCGGAGCUCCACCGCGCAGCCAGGAAUGGAUUGAUCCAGCACCUAACAUGCACCAGAUCCUCAAACUGGGCUCUGGGCUUGUGAAUCCAGAAGCAAAAGAGAAGUGAGGUUCAAGGCUCACAAAGAACCUCCAGUUCGGUUAGGGUCACAGAAGAAAUCCAGUGGAUUCUCAUUAUUCGUGGUCGCUCUGUUCUGUGAAGUCACUGCCACUGCUCCUGAGGGAAUGUGGAGUUAGGAUCCUGCCAGCCUCCGGGCACAACGUGCUGGUCCAUACGUGCCAGUCAAUAGAUAGCCUC